rnacentral:rRNA from 1 species
UACGUAGGGUGCGAGCGUUAAUCGGAAUUACUGGGCGUAAAGCGUGCGCAGGCGGCGCGUUAAGACAGGUGUGAAAGCCCCGAGCUUAACUUGGGAAUUGCGCUUGUGACUGGCGUGCUGGAGUGUGGCAGAGGGAGGUGGAAUUCCACGUGUAGCAGUGAAAUGCGUAGAUAUGUGGAGGAAUACCGAUGGCGAAGGCAGCCUCCUGGGAUAACACUGACGCUCAUGCACGAAAGCGUGGGGAGCAAACAGG